rnacentral:rRNA from 1 species
AGUGAACGCUGGCGGUAGGCCUAACACAUGCAAGUCGAACGGCAGCACAGUAAGAGCUUGCUCUUACGGGUGGCGAGUGGCGGACGGGUGAGGAAUACAUCGGAAUCUACUUUUUCGUGGGGGAUAACGUAGGGAAACUCACGCUAAUACCGCAUACGACCUACGGGUGAAAGCAGGGGAUCUUCGGACCUUGCGCGAUUGAAUGAGCCGAUGUCGGAUUAGCUAGUUGGCGGGGUAAGGGCCCACCAAGGCGACGAUCCGUAGCUGGUCUGAGAGGAUGAUCAGCCACACUGGAACUGAGACACGGUCCAGACUCCUACGGGAGGCAGCAGUGGGGAAUAUUGGACAAUGGGCGCAAGCCUGAUCCAGCCAUACCGCGUGGGUGAAGAAGGCCUUCGGGUUGUAAAGCCCUUUUGUUGGGAAAGAAAAGCAGCAGGUUAAUACCCCGCUGUUCUGACGGUACCCAAAGAAUAAGCACCGGCUAACUUCGUG